rnacentral:misc_RNA from 1 species
GCAAACUUGGUCAUUUAGAGGAAGUAAAAGUCGUAACAAGGUUUCCGUAGGUGAACCUGCGGAAGGAUCAUUAUCGAAUGAAUUUAGAGUUGGUUGUCGCUGGCCCCAACACACAAGGGCAUGUGCACGCCUUCUCUCCUUCAUCCACACACACCUGUGCACUUGUGAGACGGAGGAUUGAAAAGUCCUCUGCCUACUUAAUCACACAAACUCAUCCUAACUUGAACCGAAUGUAAUUGAUGUAACGCAUCAUUGGAACUAAGUUUCAACAACGGAUCUCUUGGCUCUCGCAUCGAUGAAGAACGCAGC